rnacentral:snRNA from 15 species
AAACUUACCUGGCAGGGGAGAUACCAUGAUCAGGCAGGUGGUUUUCCCAGGGUGAGGCUCAUCCCCUGCACUCCGGGGCUGACUGGAAAGGGGGAGAUUUUCUCAGGAAUUGCUCGGGCUCGCUUCUCCAGGAUUGCGAUUUUGGUUUCAGGAUUCCUUUUCACUCCUC